CUACUUUUUGUUAUUACCCUCAUUAUCCUUUUCAUCUUCCAUAUUCAUCUUCCAGAUCGAGAUUUUUUUUUUUGGAAAGAAAGAGAGACAGACGCGAUUCAGUAUUGUUCUUUAGCAAAGGUUCGUUCUUCAGGUAUUGGUGAGUCAAAUAUACUCUUUCCAUUUGACUAGGAAUGAGUUCAGUCACAAAACCAAGUCUACCAUUUUUGUUGAGUUGGUUACUAGGAGUUUGAAAGUUGAAGUUAAAGUUAUCAAAAAGCUCAGAUUCGGGGCACUUCUGUCAAUAAAGGUUCUUACUUUGAAGAGGCAAGAGGAACUCAUUCGGUUGUGAGGAAGAUGAGAUUUGGCAAGUGGAGAGUGAGCAAAAAGUAAAUGAUGGAUCCGCUGACAAGGAAAAGUGCCAAAAGGAAAAACAUGUAUUAUGAUUAUCUGUAAAAUGACCAUUUUAGCACAUUUAUCACUCGAAACAUUUAAUUGUACAUUUUCAGUAGUUACUUCAAACUGACAUUUAUGUGCCCAACUUCGCUUUUACAGGCCCAAUAUUAAAACAAAUCUCGGAAUUUCAUUCUCA